AUUGAAUGCUGGCGGCAUGCCUUACACAUGCAAGUCGAACGGCAGCACGGGUGCUUGCACCUGGUGGCGAGUGGCGAACGGGUGAGUAAUACAUCGGAACAUGUCCUGUAGUGGGGGAUAGCCCGGCGAAAGCCGGAUUAAUACCGCAUACGAUCUACGGAUGAAAGCGGGGGACCUUCGGGCCUCGCGCUAUGGGGUUGGCCGAUGGCUGAUUAGCUAGUUGGUGGGGUAAAGGCCUACCAAGGCGACGAUCAGUAGCUGGUCUGAGAGGACGACCAGCCACACUGGGACUGAGACACGGCCCAGACUCCUACGGGAGGCAGCAGUGGGGAAUUUUGGACAAUGGGCGAAAGCCUGAUCCAGCAAUGCCGCGUGUGUGAAGAAGGCCUUCGGGUUGUAAAGCACUUUUGUCCGGAAAGAAAUCCUUGGCCCUAAUACGGUCGGGGGAUGACGGUACCGGAAGAAUAAGCACCGGCUAACUACGUG
rnacentral:rRNA from 1 species